UCGUUCCAUCGCAUGCUACACUAAUCACUCCGUUGGUAUCAAUUCUCUUUCAUUAUCGGCAAUCAUAGCGAGAAGUAGCUGCUAGCUAAUCAUCGGAACUGGAACUUCAGCCUCAUAAAUACUCCGCUUAUAUACUCGUAUACACAGGUUUCUGAACAUGCAGCCUGUUACUAUAAUGGAGAAUAGACCCUCGCGGGCUGGCUAUUCUGAAAACUACAGUGCAGGUGCCGCCACCUGUACAGCGGUGUUUAUAAUUG